UGGGGAAUAUUGCACAAUGGGCGCAAGCCUGAUGCAGCCAUGCCGCGUGUAUGAAGAAGGCCUUCGGGUUGUAAAGUACUUUCAGCGGGGAGGAAGGGAGUAAAGUUAAUACCUUUGCUCAUUGACGUUACCCGCAGAAGAAGCACCGGCUAACUCCGUGCCAGCAGCCGCGGUAAUACGGAGGGUGCAAGCGUUAAUCGGAAUUACUGGGCGUAAAGCGCACGCAGGCGGUCUGUCAAGUCGGAUGUGAAAUCCCCGGGCUCAACCUGGGAACUGCAUUCGAAACUGGCAGGCUAGAGUCUUGUAGAGGGGGGUAGAAUUCCAGGUGUAGCGGUGAAAUGCGUAGAGAUCUGGAGGAAUACCGGUGGCGGAGGCGGCCCCCUGGACAAAGACUGACGCUCAGGUGCGAAAGCGGGGGGAGCAAACAGG
rnacentral:rRNA from 1 species